rnacentral:ncRNA from 1 species
UCGCGGGCGACUGCGAAUCCGAAGGAAGCCGGAAGCAAAGCGCUGGCCUGACGAACAGGAAGCGGAUACGAGGCGGCCUGGCGGGGUGAGAUGCCGAAAAUCAUCAAAGCCCAAUACUUGUACGGAACGUCAGGACGUAUAUCCGACAGGCAUAAGCGUGAAGGUGGGUGCG